rnacentral:rRNA from 1 species
CGGCGGACGGGUGAGUAAUGCCUAGGAAUCUGCCUGGUAGUGGGGGAUAACGUCCGGAAACGGACGCUAAUACCGCAUACGUCCUACGGGAGAAAGCAGGGGACCUUCGGGCCUUGCGCUAUCAGAUGAGCCUAGGUCGGAUUAGCUAGUUGGUGGGGUAAUGGCUCACCAAGGCGACGAUCCGUAACUGGUCUGAGAGGAUGAUCAGUCACACUGGAACUGAGACACGGUCCAGACUCCUACGGGAGGCAGCAGUGGGGAAUAUUGGACAAUGGGCGAAAGCCUGAUCCAGCCAUGCCGCGUGUGUGAAGAAGGUCUUCGGAUUGUAAAGCACUUUAAGUUGGGAGGAAGGGCAGUAAAUUAAUACUUUGCUGUUUUGACGUUACCGACAGAAUAAGCACCGGCUAACUCUGUGCCAGCAGCCGCGGUAAUACAGAGGGUGCAAGCGUUAAUCGGAAUUACUGGGCGUAAAGCGCGCGUAGGUGGUUCGUUAAGUUGGAUGUGAAAUCCCCGGGCUCAACCUGGGAACUGCAUUCAAAACUGACGAGCUAGAGUAUGGUAGAGGGUGGUGGAAUUUCCUGUGUAGCGGUGAAAUGCGUAGAUAUAGGAAGGAACACCAGUGGC